GCAAGUAUUAGUUUAACCAAACAUUAGAUUGUGAUUCUAGAAAUAGAAGUUCAAACCUUCUUACCUGCC
rnacentral:tRNA from 1 species